rnacentral:misc_RNA from 1 species
GAAAUGCAAUAUUUGGUGUGAAUUACAGAAUCCUGUGAACCAUCAAGUCUUUGAACGCAAGUUGCGCCCCAAGCCUUCUGGCCGAGGGCACGUCUGCCUGGGUGUCACAAAUCAGCAUCCCCCCAUCCUUUUGGACAAGGGACGGAAGCGGGUCUCCCGUGUGUAACCGCACGCGGUUGGCCAAAAUCCGAGCUUAGGACGUCAAGAGCGUCUCGACAUGCGGUGGUGAAUCUUUCCCCUUCAUUAUGUUGGACGAUCUUGUCCGAAAGCUCUCGAUGACCAAAAGUCCUCAACGCGACCCCAGGUUAGGCGGGGUCACCCGCUGAGUUUAA